rnacentral:lncRNA from 1 species
AGUGAAGCACGCAAUGAAUUACUUUGUAAUGAGUUUGUACAUCUCAAAUAAGUAAAAUGGCGAAUAAUUAUAGUAAUUUAAAGAAGAAAAAAAUUACCCGGCGUUCUGUAAUAACCGAAAAUUGAUUAAUGGAAGAGACACUGCUUAAGAAGAUAGAAGUUAGGGACUUGUUAGGGUUUAAGAGGACGGUGCAUUGGGAGCUGGGUAAGAAGGUUCUAGAAUUCCUUCAUUUUUCACAUUUCUAAAAAUAGAAGAGGGAAUAUUCGAUAUGCUUGCAGCCUAUCGUAGUGGAGGGUUCAUUUCCACAGCGUUCUCACCU